rnacentral:rRNA from 1 species
UACGGAGGGUGCAAGCGUUAUCCGGAUUCACUGGGUUUAAAGGGCGCGUAGGCGGCUUGGCAAGUCCGUCCUGAAAUGUACCGGUUCAACCGGGGCACUGUGUCGGAAACUGCCUGGCUUGAGGUCGAGGGAGGAGAGUGGAAUUCCUGGUGUAGCGGUGAAAUGCGUAGAUAUCAGGAGGAACACCCGUGGCGAGGGCGGCUCUCUAUCUCGAUUCUGACGCUGAGGCGCGAAAGCUAGGGGAGCAAACGGG